CCUAGAUGGGCCUAGGAGGGUUAUGACGGCCCAAGGCGACCUCUUGGCUGCCCUAGGAGGGUUAAGGUAGCCCCUUAGCAGGUCAAGACAGCCCUUUGGCGGCUUGAGACGGGUGAACGCGGCCCUUUGGUGGCCGAAGGUGGGUUAAGGCGGGUCAAGGCGGCCCUAUGCGGCUUUAAGAGGGUCAAGGCAGCCCCUUAGAGGGUCAUGGCGGCCCUAGCGGGAUUAAGGAUGCCCCUUGGCGGUCCUAGUAGGGUCAAGGCGGCCUAAGACGGGUCAAGACGGCCCAUGGCAGGUCAAGGAGGGUCAAGGCAGCCCUAAGCGGUUUAAGGCGGCCCCUUAGCAGCCGUACGCAACCCCUUCGCAGCCCUAGGAGGGUCAUGGCAGCCCCUUGGCUGCCCUAAGCGGGGAUACAAGGGCAUAGGAUGGUCAAGGCGGCCCAAAGCGGGUCAUGGCGGGUCUAGGCGGUUCUACGAGGGUCAAGGUAGCCCCUUGGAGGGUCAAUGCGGCCCCUUGGAAGGUCAAGGCGGCCCCUUGGUGGCCUUAGAUGGGUGAAAGCGGCUCCUUGGCGGCCCAAGGAGGGUCAAGGCGGAUUAAGACGGGUCAAGGCGGCUCUAGGAGAGUCAAGGGGGCCCAAGGUGGGUCAAGGUGGCCCACGGCGGGCCAAUGAUGGUCAAGGCGUCCCCUUGACUCCCCUAGGCGAGCCUAGGAGGGCCUAGGUGGGUUAAGAUGGUUUAAGGCAGGCCAAGACGGGUGAAGGCCGGUCAAGGCGGGUUAAGGCGGGUCAAGGCAGCCGAAAGAGGGUUAAGGCAAUCCAAGGCGGGUUAAGGCGGGCCAAAGUGGGUUAAGGCGGGCAUAGGCGGGUCAAGGCUAGUCAAGGUGGGUUAAGGCGGCCCCAAGCGGGUUAAGGCGGGUCAANNNNNNNNNNNNNNNNNNNNAAGGUGAAGGCUGCCCAAGGCGAGUCAUGGCUGCCCAAAGCAGCCUAAGGCGGGUCAAGGCUGCCCAAGGCGAGUCAUGGCGGGUCAAGGCGACCCCUUGGCUGCCUUAGGCGAGCCUAGGAGUGUCAAGGCGACCCAAGGUGGUGUAGGAGGGUCAAGGCAGCCCCUUGCCGGGUCAAGGCGGCCCCUUGGCGGCCUUAGACCGGUGAACGCAUCCCUUUAGCGGGUCAAGGUGGGUCAAGGAGGGUGAAGGGGGUCCAAGGAGGGUAAAGGCGGGCCAAGGUGGGUAAAGGCGGGCCAAGGUGGGUCAAGGCUGGUCAAGGCGGGUCAAGGAGGGUGAAGGCGGCCCAAGGUGGGUGAAGGCGGCUCAAGACGGGUCAAGGCGGGUUAAGGCUGGCCAACGCAGGGUAAGGCUGGCCAACGCAGGGUAAGGCGGGUCAUGCCGGGUCAAGGUGGUCUUCGUGGCCCUAGGAGGGUCAAGGCGGCCCAUGACGGGCCAAUGCGGGUCAAGACGGGCCAUGGCGGGUCAAGGCAUGUUAAGGCGGGUCAAGGAUGCACAAGGCGGGUUAAGGCAGUCCAAGGCGAGUCAAGGUAGGCCUAGGCGGGUCAAGGCUAGUUAAGGUGGGUCAAGGCGGGUCAAGGCGGCCCCAGGUGGGGGGCGGGCCGUCGCGGGUCAAGGCGAGUCAUGGCGGGCCAAGGCGAGCCAAUGCCGCUCAAGGCAGCUCUAGUGUAACACCCUGACCCAGGUGUUAGAAGAAUAAACGAAUAAAAUAACUAAGGAAAACCUAAAUCGAAACAGAGGUAGGAUCUCAAAACAAACAAAAGGUUUGUUGUGUUUGAAAUCUAAAUUUAUUUUGUUAAUUUGCAGCUGCACCCAAAACUUGAUCGAGCUGCCUAUAUACCCUUUUAAAGGGAUCAAGCCACUCGUAGUUCAUCAUUUUAAUCUACUUCUCUACCUACACUAACAACAUCACAUUUACCACUAUAAGUCCAAAAUCAAAACCCUACUUACGGCCUCCCAAGAACCAUUUCAUGAUACACACCAAAAUUUAAUAUGUUUUCUUCUAUACCCAUUAAAUCAAAUCAACCCGGCCAUACAAAGCCUCAUGCAUCAUCAAAACUAUAUCAAUUUAUUAUCAUUCUAAUAUAAAGUUUCAGGAGAAUAAUAUAAAGUCCCAAGUUUACUAAACAUUCUAACUAGAUUUACUAAGAACACCCAUUAGAUAUACUAUGGACACCCAUUCAACUAAAUCCAAUCCCAAAUCCAUACAUAACACUCCAAUAUCCACUUCAAUGCAUAAGCACAAUCCAACUAUAACUCAAUAGUUAAUAUUCAUCCUAAACAUAGACCAAACCCAGAAACCAUAACUACAACUACCGCCGCCGCCACCGUGAACAGUGGCCACCCACGGUGGUCACACUGCCCAGAACACCACAUUCUCCAAACUCCACCAAUAUUGACUUCAAGCAUCUCAACCUACUCCUUCAAUUCCAUACACUAAUUCAAAAGUCAGAAACUACAAAAACAAUCGCCACCAAUGUCGUGCACAGCAGCACACACGGCAGUCCUCCACAACCAAAAAUCCAACUUUUUCAUCUCUCAACCAAACACGAAUUCAAUUAUACAAAAGGUACAGCUCAAAGAGAAAAUCAACUUUGAUACCUGAGUCUACGCCAAAGCUCACCGGAAUCCGUCGAACUCUCGCCGGAAAAUUUAAAAACUUCUCCUCUUCUAUUCUCCCUCACCUGACCUUGUCUCGACAAGCUGAAGUCACAGGGAUGUCGAGGAUGAGGAGAGGAAACUAUCCACACCGGUGAGAUACCACGACUUGGCCGGAAUCGUAAACUCGCCGGCGAACCCAGCCUCUCCUUCUCCACUUUGAAUCUCUCUCUCUCAACCUCUUCUGAAGAAGCUGAGGACAUAGAGAAGGCCACGAGGACGAGAGGAAGCUUCCGCUACCAUUCUUCCUCCUCGCUGUCGCCGGAAUCGGAAGUUGGCCGAUAAAUUUAGAAAUUGUUCUCUCCUUCUUUUCUCUCUCGCCGGAGCUCCUCUUCGAAAACAAAGGACAUCUUGAGGACGGGGACGGCGAGACGGAGCUGUAGCCACCAGUUGGAGGCCGAGAGGUGGCCGGACGACGGAAAACGAUCGACGCUCCGUCGAUGCAGAGAGACCGGAGAUAGAGACGAAGUCUGUCUCUCCCGAAAAUAAAUCGAAGGUUCUAAAAGCUUCCCCCCUUCUCUCCAGAUUCUUCCCCCAAAAAUAUCUACCUCCCUUUCUUUUUCUCUCUUCUUUUUUUAUACCCUUUACUGAAAUAGUAAUUUUCUGUUUUUAGACCAUAAUUUUCUCAUACGAACUCCGAUUUGAGCGUGCCACGUGUCCACGAACUCGUAUUAACGUCCUCUACGACUUCCAUGAAGGAAGUUCUCCCAAAUUAUCAACUUAACAAAAAGUCAAAUUUUUAGGUCCUUUACGGUAAAACGGUUACAAGAAACAAUAAUUGAAAAUUUACUGUAAACUUCAUAAAUUCACAAAACAUAACUCAUCGCUUCGGAAAAUAAUCCGGACAUACCGGUGAGCUCAUAUAAACGUGUACCACGACUUCGGACUUUUAAAUCCACUAUUUACCCAUUUUCAGAAAAGCUCGAAAACAACCUCGAGCAAUCACUAUUUAAAUCUCUGAGCGCAAAUAAAGAAAAAUCUGCGGUAACUCGUAAUCCCAAACAGUAACCUUUUAGGUACGGGGUAUUAUAUCUAGGCAUGCAGGUCAAGGCGGCCGCUUGGCGGCAUUAGGUGGGUCAAGCGGCCUUAAGUGGGACAAGGCGACCACUUGGCGUCCUUAGACAGGUGAACGCGGCCCUUUGGCGGCCCCAGCUGGGUCAAGACGGCCCCUAGAUGGGUCAAGACGGCCUAUUGGUGGCUUUAGAAGGGUCAAGGCGGUCCAAGGUGGGUUAAGGCGGCCCAAGGCAGUUCAAUGCGGGUCAAGGCGGGCCUAUGAGGGCCUAGGAAGGUCAAUGCGAGUCAUGGCGUCCCUAGGCGAGUCAAGGCGGUAGCUUGGAGGGUCAACGCAGCUUUAGGCGGUUCUGGGAGGGUCAAGGCGGCCCAAGGGGGGUUAAGGCCGGUCAAGGCGCCCCAUGGCGGGCCAAUGCUGGUCAAGACGGCCCCUUUGCUACCCUAAGCGAGCCUAGGAGGGUAAAGGCGGCCAUGGCGGGCCAAGGCGGCCGAAGGCGGAUCAAGGCGGCCCAUGAGUGAGCCUUGGAUGGCCUAAGAGGGUCAUGGCGGCCAAAGGCGGGUUAAACGGGUAAAGGCGGCCCAAAGCGGGUCAAGGCAAGUCAAGGCGGCCCUUUAGCGGCUUUAGACGGGUGAACGCGGCCCAUUGGCAGCUCCAGCCGGGUCAAGGCGGCCUAUUGCAAUCCCAAGGCGAGUUAAGGCAGGUCAAAGAAGCCUAAGGCGGGUGAAGGCGAUCCAAGGCAAGUCAUGGCAGGUCAAGACGACCCAAGGCGGGUCUAGGAGGGUCAAGGCAGCCCCUUGUCGGGUUAAGGCGGCCCCUUGGCGGCCUUAGACGAGUGAACGCAUCCCCUUGGCGGGUCAAGGCAGCCCCUUAGUGUCCCUAGGAGGGUCAAGGUGGCCCUAAGCGGGUCAUGGCGGCCCAAGACGGGUUAAGGCGGCCCAAGACAGGUUAAGGAGGGUUAAGGCGGCCCAAAGCGGGUCAAGGCGGGUUAAGACGGGCUAAAGCGGGUUAAAGAGGGUCAAGGCAGCCCAAGGUGUGUUAAGGUGGGUCAAGGCGGGUCAAGGCGGCCGAAGGCGGUCUAAGGAGGGUCAAGGCGGGCCAAAGUGGGUCAAGGCGGGCCAAGGAGGGUGAAGACGGCCAAGGUGGGUGAAGGCGGCUCAAGAUGGGUCAAGGCGAGUUAAGACGGGCCAAGGCAGGUUAAGGAGGGUCAAGGAGGGUUAAGGUGGUCUUCGUGGCCCUAGGAGGGUCAAGACGGCCCCUUGGCUGGUCAAGGCAUGUUAAGGCGGCUCAAGGCAGGUUAAGGCAGUCCAAGGCGGGUCAAGACAUGCCUAGGCGGGUCAAGGCUGGUCAAGGUGGGUUAAGGCGGGUCAAGGCGGCCCAUUGGCGGCCCUAAGCGGGAUAAGGAGGCCCUAGGCCGUUUAAGGCGACCCCUUGGCAGCCAUGGACAGGUGAACGCUGCUUAGGCGGGUCAAGGCUGGUCAAGGUGGGUUAAGGCGGGUCAAGGCGGCCCCAGGCGGGUAAGGCGGCCCAAGGCGGGUCAAGGUGAGCCAAGGCGGGUCAAGGCCGACCAAGUUGGGUCAAGUCAGUCAAGGUGGGUAAAGCGGGUAAAGGCGGCCCAAGGCAGGUUAAGGCGGGUCAAGGCGGCCCAAUGUGGGCUAAUGCGAGUCAAGGCGGCCUUAAGCGGGUCAAGGCAGCCCCUUAGCGGCCCUACACAUCCCCUUUGCGGCCCUAAGCAAGGUCAUGGCGGCCCAUUUGCUGCCCUAAGCAGGGGCCUAAGAUGGUCAAGGCAAGUCUACGCGGUUCUACGAGGAUCAAGAUAGCCCCUUAGAGGGUCAAGACGGCCCCUUGGUGGCCUUUGACGAGUGAACGCGGCCCCUUAGCGGCCCAAUGAGGGCUAAGGCGGGUGAAGGCGGCUCUAGGCGGGUCAAGGUGGUCUUCGCGGCCUUGGGACAGUCAAGGCAGCCAAGGAGGGUCAAGGCGGAUCAAAGCGGGUCUAGGAGGCCCCAUAGUGGCCCUAGACGUGUCAUUGCGGGUCAAGGCGGCCCUAGGAAGGUCAAGGCCGCCCAAGGCGGGUCAAGGUGGCCCUAGGAGGGCCCAGAAGGGUCAAGGCGGGUUAAGACGAGCCUAGGAGGGCCCAGGAGGGUCAAGGCGGGCCAUGGUGGGUCAAGGCGGCCCCUUGGCUCCCCUAGGCAAGCCUAGGAGGGCCUAGGAGGGUCAAGGCGCCCAAGGUGGGUUAAGCCAGGUCAAGGUGGCCUAAGGCGGCUGAAGGUGGGUCAAGGCAAUCCAAGACGGGCCAAGGUGGGUUAAGGCGGGCCUAGGCGGGUCAAGGCUGGUCAAGAUGGGUUAAGGCAGGUCCAGGCAGCCCCAGGAGGGUUAAGGCGGCCCAAGGCGGGUUAAGGCGACCCUAAACGGGACAAGGCGGUCCUAAGCGGGACAGGGCGGCCCUAACUAGGCCGUUCAAGGCAGCCCCUUGGCGGCCAUAGACAGGUGAACGCGACCCUUUGGCGGCCCCAGCUGGGUCAAGGCGACCCCUUAGAGACCCUAGAUGGGUCAAGGCUGUCCAAGGCGGCCAAGGAGGUCUAAGGCGGUCCAAGGCGGGUCAAGGCAACCCCUUAACGGGUCAAGACGGCCCCUUGGCGACCUUAAAAGGAGAACGCGGCCCCUUGGCGGUCCUAGCGGAGUCAAUGCAGCCCUUGAUCGCCCUAGACGGGUCAAGGCGACCCCUUUGGCUACCCUAGGAGGGUCAAGGUGGGAUUAGGCAGGUCAAAGGGGCACCCUGGCUGCCCUAGGCUAGUCUUAGAGGGUGAAGGCGGGUCGAGGAGGCCCAAGGCUGGUCAAAGUAGGUUAAGGCGGGCCUAGGCGAGUUAAGGCGAGCCAAGGUAGGUUAAGGCGUGACAAGGUGGGUUAAGGCGGGCCUAGGCGGGCCUAGGCGGGUCAAGGCGGGUUAUGGCGGGUCAAGACGGCCCCAGGCGGGUUAAGACGAGCCAAGGCGGGUUAAGGCCGGCCAAGGCGGGUCAAGGCUAUUUAAGGUGGGUAAAGGCGGGUAAAGGCGAGUUAAGGCGGGUCAAGGCGGGUCAUGCUUAGAUAGGCCCAUGACGAGCCACUUCUUAACGGGCCUGGGCUUGGGCCGGCCCAUUUACUCAAACAUAAGGCCAUACCCUAAGCCGGUCAAGGCGGCCCCUUCGCGGCCCUAGAAGGUCAUGGCAGCCCCUUAGCUGCUCUAGGAGGGUGAAAGCGGCCCAAAGAGGGUUUAGGCGGCUCAGGGCGGGUCAAGGAGGCCCCUUGGUGGCCUUAGACGGGUGUACGCGGUCCCUUGGCGGCCCUAGCGGGGUUAAGGCGGCCUCUUGAUGGCCCUAGAAGGGUCAAGGUGGCCUCUUGGCUGCCUACGAGGGUCAAGGCUGGUUAAGCGGGCCCUGGCGAGUUAAGGCAGGUUAAAGCCGCCCCAUGGCUGGUCAAGGCAACCCUAGGCAGGUCAAGGCGGCCUCUUCGCGACCCUAGGAGGGUUAUGGCGGCCCCUUGGCUAUCCUAGGCGGGCCUAAGAGGGUGAACGCGGCCCCUUGGCGGGUCUAAGGCGGGUCAAGAUGACCCUGGACGGUUCUAGGAGGGUCAAGGCUGCCCUUUGGUGGCCUUAGAGGGGUGAACACGGCCCCUUGGAGGCCCUAGGAGGGUCAAGGAGGGUCUUGGCGGCCCUUUGAUGGGUCAAGGAGGGUCAAGGAGGGUUAAGACGGGUCAAGGCCAGUCAAGGCGGCCAAAGGUGGUCCAAGGCGGGUCAAGGAGGGUCUUGGCGGCCCCAAGAGGUCAAGGCGGCCCCUUAGUGGCCCUAGAAGGGUAAAGGCGACCUCUUGGCUGUCCUAGGAGGGUCAAGGCG
rnacentral:lncRNA from 1 species